rnacentral:tRNA from 1 species
UAAACUUUAGCUUAUGAAGAGCGGUUAGCUGUUAACUAAUAGGAGUAAUAAACAUUACAAGUUUAG